rnacentral:rRNA from 1 species
CCAAAAGCUGGCGACCGGCGCACGGGUGAGUAACACGUAUCCAACCUGCCUCAUACUCGGGGAUAGCCUUUCGAAAGAAAGAUUAAUAUCCGAUAGCAUAUAUUUCCCGCAUGGGUUUUAUAUUAAAGAAAUUCGGUAUGAGAUGGGGAUGCGUUCCAUUAGUUUGUUGGGGGGGUAACGGCCCACCAAGACUACGAUGGAUAGGGGUUCUGAGAGGAAGGUCCCCCACACUGGUACUGAGACACGGACCAG